UGGAGAAGAUCAAACGUCUAAAAACAAAAAGUUCUCUUCUCAUAUUCCUGUAGUCUUUCUGUUGUCCUUCAUCACCAUCCUCAAUCAACCUCCGCCUACUGUAAUAUCUGAACCAUCAUUUCUCUGGGCAAGGUGAGUAUUGUUCUCCAUUUUAAUCCUAUUGCUGCCAAUAUAUGCACAUGCUCAUUUACUGUCCGUCUUACAUGUUGAAAUUUGCUUUCAUGAAAACCCUUAAUCAGUUCCUUAAUGUCUUGAAUAUAUGGUCCUAUUACCGAUUUAUCUCCACUUUUUCCUUUGACUCGCUUGAUAACCGUCAGAGAGUCUCAUUCAAUUUCAACAUAAUUUAAUCCCAGACCCUUUCCUAUUUUCACUGCCUGUAGACAUGCAAUGGCUUCGGCUGCAAAUCCCGAAGGAACAUUCUCAUGUAUUGUGGUUUUCGAAGCCAAGACAUCCCUAUUACAGUCUCGGACGAUGACUCCUGAGUAGGAUCUAUAUUUUUUUUUAUAUCCACUGCAGCAUCGAAAUUAAUUUUGCAGAACCCUUGCUCCAGAGGUCUCCAGAGUUCGGUAGGCGGUCUUAAGGUAGGGGAUAUUUGCUUGAUAUUAUUUAGCCCUUGGAAAUACUGUAAAAUAAAUAUUUCUAUUUCUGCUCCAGAUCUCCUUCGACCUUCAUGGAUACACUGAUUCCUAGCAGACCAGAUAGCCCAAAUGGCGCAAACAUAGGCUCGACAGACAUCUUUCUCACUAUUCAGCAUAAUCCAGGUAAACCAAUCCAAGAACUCCAACUGAGAUAACUCCUGGGGCCAGGCGUAAUUUAAUUUAUCCCAUGUCUUUUUUGUAACAGCGUAGUCACAAAAGAUAUGCUCCUUAUUUUCUAGUCCUUGCAUGACCGCCUUGUUUGUUAAUCGUUUAAUUCUGAGAUUUACUAGAGUAGGCAAAUAGUUCAAAGUGGCUCUCCAAACUGUAAUAAGUAAUUUUGAAGGGAAGUUACUAUUCCAUAGCUUUUUGUAACAUUUUCUGAUUUCGAUCGGGCUGUAUCUAUUAUCAUUAAGCAAAUUACCAUGUAAUAGGAUUUUGUACCCUCUCCUUACUGUAUACUCACCUGUUGACUCCCCCCUCCAAGCCAGAAAGUCAUCAUGGGGAUUCUUAAUCAGCUGAAUUUGGAGAAUUUUUUGGGCAUCACCAGUUGAGAAGGUAUGUUCGAUCAAUUAUGUUUUCCAAGAUCUAGUGUUGUUGUCGAUCAGAUUUCCUACCCUCGUUAUGUUCUGGUUUCUCGCCAAUUAUUGAAUGUGUGAAUUUUCAGCAUUUGAAACCCAAACAUCCUCUUCAAUUCUAACGUCACGUCCAUUGCCAAUUCUCCAACAAAGACCUGUUAACAAGAGACCUUUUGCAGCCCACAUACUUUUCCAAGUAUAUGAUG
rnacentral:lncRNA from 1 species